rnacentral:lncRNA from 1 species
UCUCUUUAAAAUGUAAAAUAUAAAAUAAAUGCCAAAAUUACUAAAUCAUAAAAUGUACUUAAUCUCAAUUUCAGAAUGUAAAAGUCUCAAAAUAAAAGUUUCUCAAAAGUAUAAUUUUCUAAAGUUAAAUUAUGAGUCAGAGAUAAAUUUUGUCUCACACUACACAGUCAACUGGUAGACUGGUAGACAGUCUUAUAGGGCCAGUAUAAUGACAUGAGUAGUGUGAGGUUACGCUUCCGAAACACUGACUGCUAUCUUAAAAAUUCCCAAAAAUAAAAGGUGAGUCAAAAAUACAUUUUUGUCUAAACACUACAAAGUCAACUAGUAGACUGAUCAACAGUCUUACAGAUCCAGUAUAAUAGACUUUAGUAGUGAAAGGUUAGGUUUCCGAAAGGUGACUGCUUUUCCAAAAUUUCACAAUGAUAUUUAUACUAAAACACAAAAUAACUCAACAUGACACGAGAUGUUAAUAUUACUCUCAUUAGUAAAA